ACUGCAACGAAAAACGGACUAACAGCUGUCCCAGUGCAGUGCUCAGACAGGACAUCCUUCACCAAAUCGACAGACAGGAGCCUCUCAAAAAGAUAAUGCUGGGGCCUUCAGACACUGUUAUCCCCAGCCUUCAGCCUCUGUUAAUGGCUAUACGAGAUGAGCGUUACACACACGGCACAAGAAUUUCACAUCUGGAGUCUGUUCUCUCAAGCAAAAAGAUAUAGUUGAGCUGUGUCUUCUUUUAGAGAAGAGGGGGAGGACAGUUUAUCCCUUGAAAUCACUGGAGCUACUUGAUUGCAAAAUAACUGAAGGGUCUCUGGAAAGACUGGGCAAUGCUGCAGGCAUCAGCUACCUCACCACUCUCUGCCUGGACUACAC